GACGAACGCUGGCGGCGUGCUUAACACAUGCAAGUCGAACGGAAAGGCCCUGCUUUUGUGGGGUGCUCGAGUGGCGAACGGGUGAGUAACACGUGAGUAACCUGCCCUUGACUUUGGGAUAACUUCAGGAAACUGGGGCUAAUACCGGAUAGGAGCUCCUGCUGCAUGGUGGGGGUUGGAAAGUUUGGGCGGUUGGGGAUGGACUCGCGGCUUAUCAGCUUGUUGGUGGGGUAGUGGCUUACCAAGGCUUUGACGGGUAGCCGGCCUGAGAGGGUGACCGGCCACAUUGGGACUGAGAUACGGACCAGACUCCUACGGGAGGCAGCAGUGGGGAAUAUUGCACAAUGGGGGGAAGCCUGAUGAAGCAACGCCGCGUGCGGGAUGACGGCCUUCGGGUUGUAAACCGCUUUCGCCUGUGACGAAGCGUGAGUGACGGUAAUGGGUAAAGAAGCACCGGCUAACUACGUG
rnacentral:rRNA from 1 species